AUAUCAGUCAUGCAUAGCAUAUCAAUAAGCGGAGGAAAAGAAACUAACAAGGAUUCCCUUAGUAACGGCGAGUGAAGCAGGAAGAGCUCAAAUUUGAAAUCUUCAAGGUUCUACCUUGACGAAUUGUAGUUUAUAGAAGUGUUUUCUGUUAGUAGAGUGGCAAAAGUUCUUUGGAAUAGGACAUCAUAGAGGGUGAGAAUCCCGUAUUUGGUCAUUCUUUCUAGCUUUGUGAUACACUUUCAACGAGUCGGAUUGUUUGGGAAUGCAGUCCAAAAUGGGUGGUAAAUUUCAUCUAAAGCUAAAUAUUGGCGAGAGACCGAUAGCGAAUAAGUACCGUGAGGGAAAGAUGAAAAGAACUUUGAAAAGAGAGUUAAACAGUACGUGAAAUUGUCAAAAGGGAAGCGUUUGACACCAGUGUUGUUUUUCCGAAAAUCAAUUACGAAUGUUUUGUUUUUAAGAAGUUAUGACUUCAUCGGCUUGCUUCUUUCUUUACGAAACUUUCUUAAUGCACUUUUCGGUUAACAAGUCAACAUCAAUUUCUUUUGUUGUAAAAGGGUACGAGGAAGGUGGCCUUCUUUUCGGAGAAAGUGUUUAUAGCCUUGUACCUCUGCAAUCGGAGAGAUUGAGGUCUGCAGCGUAGAUCCUUCGGGGUUAGAUACAUUUGUGCUAAGUUAUAGCUUUUCAUAGACAACUUGUUGACUAUGUUAGUCUUGUAGCUUACUCGCUUAUGCUAUUUUACCUACGCUUAGGAUGUUGAUCUCUCACAGUCGAGC
rnacentral:rRNA from 1 species